UACGUAGGGUGCAAGCGUUAAUCGGAAUUACUGGGCGUAAAGCGUGCGCAGGCGGUUUUGCAAGUCAGGUGUGAAAUCCCCGGGCUCAACCUGGGAACUGCAUUUGUGACUGCACGGCUGGAGUGCGGCAGAGGGGGAUGGAAUUCCGCGUGUAGCAGUGAAAUGCGUAGAUAUGCGGAGGAACACCGAUGGCGAAGGCAAUCCCCUGGGCCUGCACUGACGCUUAUGCACGAAAGCGUGGGGAGCAAACAAG
rnacentral:rRNA from 1 species